GGGGCACUGAGGGAAGUGGGGGCACUGAGGGGAUGCAUGCGCGGGGCAGUGAGGGACGUGGGGACGCUGAGACACAGACACAGGAAGCAUCAACUCUGAGGCUUUGGCCAGGAUAUGAGCCCGACUUUCGCAGCCCCAACUGGCAGGCUGACCUCAUGUGAACUCCCUGGCGGUGGCAUCCUGGAGACACCCACUUGGCUGAGCUGGCACCAUAGGCACUCAUAAUCUGGGUUCAGUUUCUGCCAGCACUGAUUUGGUUUAUUCCACAUGGCUUGGGCCACUGCGGGACUCCAUUUGUUCCAGGGCCACCUUCCUGUCACCUUUUACUGUUUCUUGAGUCAGCAAGAAAGGCAGAUCCGACUGAAGACUCCAGCACUCUCCUCAGCUGCAGCCCCCACAGAGCUCUGCAAAGUCCUUUCCCCCACAGGAUGGAUCUGAGGCACCCACCAUGAGAAAAAAGGGGUGGAGAAAUGAUAUGCAGGAAGAAGGUCCAUCCUGAUUCACCAGUCGCGUGGAUGCACUUUUCUACCAGGCUAGGAGGGAGGAAAGUGGAGCCCCACCCUGACUGCUAAGCCAUUUGCUUUGCUGUCACAAAAAAACAGUUCAGCUUCCCAAAUCAGAGAGGAAAAGAUUUUUAGGGGGUCCCUUAUUUCUAUUAUGUAAGCUUUAAAUAACAAAGUAGACCUCUGGGGCCAACGUGGGUGUGCGAUGGUGGUUUUGUGGGAUUCUCCCCAUAGCCCCAUCAGACGGCCUCACUUUCUGGGUCUCAGUGGGCCCAGGUGUGACACAGCUCCUCCAGAAACAACGACAGCCCUGGCGACCAAGGACUCCCUGUGCCACUGGCUUUGCGCUCAGAAGUAUAUUCAGUGGUUUCCCCAGAAAAUUCCAAGUCAUCUCCUAAUACUGUUCGUGAAAACUAA